UUCUCUAAUUUCGUAAUCGAUUGAAAUUGAUCUUGCGAUACAAAAUAUUUACUCACGUAAUGACCAGCUCAAGUUGUUCGGAUAAUUUGUUUGAUAACAAUACUAAAAUAAUAAUAACGCACUUAUGAUAUAGUACUAUCAUUCUGUCGAUCACGUCAUGGCUUAAACACAUGAUGAUAAUAGUGAUGGAAAACUAUAGCGAAAGUAGUGUUGAUUUCGUGAUAACG